GCUGGGCAUGGUGGUGCAUGCCUGUUAUCCCAGUGGCUCAGGAGGCUGAGGCAGGACAAUCAUGAGUUCAAUGUCAGCCUCAGCAAAAUGAGGCACUAAGCAACUCAGAGAGACCCUGUCUCCA
rnacentral:sRNA from 1 species